ACGUCAGUAGUGCAACUGGUUAGAGCACGCGCUUCCGGAUAGAGUGAGAUGCGGGUUCAAGCCCCACCUGACGCA